UCGAGAUAAUGGCCAACUAGUCGAAAGACUAGGACGCAAAGAUGCAAAUCUAAGGUCAAGCGACUAGGAUGGCUGAGUUACCUCA
rnacentral:ncRNA from 1 species